GCUAGUGGCCAUAGCACGUUGAAUGUACCAGUCCUCCUUGGAUCAAUGAAGCAACGUUGCGCGUGGUUAGUUCCCUGAUGGGUGACCAUCUGGGUUAUCGCAUGCUCCUGGCU
rnacentral:rRNA from 1 species